AAAUUGAAGAGUUUGAUCAUGGCUCAGAUUGAACGCUGGCGGCAGGCCUAACACAUGCAAGUCGAGCGGAAACGAGUUGUCAGAACCUUCGGGGGACGAUAACGGCGUCGAGCGGCGGACGGGUGAGUAAUGCCUAGGAAAUUGCCCUGAUGUGGGGGAUAACCAUUGGAAACGAUGGCUAAUACCGCAUGAUGCCUACGGGCCAAAGAGGGGGACCUUCGGGCCUCUCGCGUCAGGAUAUGCCUAGGUGGGAUUAGCUAGUUGGUGAGGUAAGGGCUCACCAAGGCGACGAUCCCUAGCUGGUCUGAGAGGAUGAUCAGCCACACUGGAACUGAGACACGGUCCAGACUCCUACGGGAGGCAGCAGUGGGGAAUAUUGCACAAUGGGCGCAAGCCUGAUGCAGCCAUGCCGCGUGUGUGAAGAAGGCCUUCGGGUUGUAAAGCACUUUCAGUCGUGAGGAAGGCGG
rnacentral:rRNA from 1 species